CUUGCUGAGUUUGGCUGCCUUGUAUUUACAAUGACAGUAUAGGCUUUGAGGAGAUUUUUCCGCCUUGGGAGAGGACGCCAGGAAGAGUCUUCUUCAAUGAUAACUGAGGUGAUGUUCAGGAGGACAGGGCAUGGUGGAAGAAGCUAAGAUUCUUAAGGUGGCUUUGUGCAGCCCCAAGAGUGCCGCUGUAUGUUCUGGUGAAGCAGCUGAGGUGGAGACUGGACAGAGCCAGCAUCCUGGGAGGAACUCACCAAGCCUGCAUUUGGAGAGCCGAUCUAGAUAAAUCUACAUCGAGAUUGCUUUGUGUGUACUGGUGAAUCCAGGAGACCCUUCAGACAUCUUGCUUCCAGCCUCAGAUGAACACAGAAAACAAGGGCAGAAGACAUCUUGAACAUUACUGAGGGUGGAGCUGGACCACUGAUGAAGCCUGCCUUAUGCCUGCACUCAGAUUUGUGUUUGACUUCUACAGUUCAAGUUGGGUGUUCUGAUAGUUAGAGCCAAGAAA
rnacentral:lncRNA from 1 species